AUUGAACGCUGGCGGCAGGCCUAACACAUGCCAGUCGAACGGUAACAGGAAGCAGCUUGCUGCUUUGCUGACGAGUGGCGGACGGGUGAGUAAUGUCUGGGAAACUGCCCGAUGGAGGGGGAUAACUACUGGAAACGGUAGCUAAUACCGCAUAACGUCGCAAGACCAAAGAGGGGGACCUUAGGGCCUCUUUCCAUCGGAUGUGCCCAGAUGGGAUUAGCUAGUAGGUGGGGUAACGGCUCACCUAGGCGACGAUCCCUAGCUGGUCUGAGAGGAUGACCAGCCACACUGGAACUGAGACACGGUCCAGACUCCUACGGGAGGCAGCAGUGGGGAAUAUUGCACAAUGGGCGCAAGCCUGAUGCAGCCAUGCCGCGUGUAUGAAGAAGGCCUUCGGGUUGUAAAGUACUUUCAGCGGGGAGGAAGGGAGUAAAGUUAAUACCUUUGCUCAUUGACGUUACCCGCAGAAGAAGCACCGGCUAACUCCGUG
rnacentral:rRNA from 1 species